GGCAGCAUGGUCUUAGCUUGCUAAGGCCGAUGGCGACCGGCGCACGGGUGAGUAACACGUAUCCAACCUGCCGUCUACUCUUGGACAGCCUUCUGAAAGGAAGAUUAAUACAAGAUGGCAUCAUGAGUUCACAUGUUCACAUGAUUAAAGGUAUUCCGGUAGACGAUGGGGAUGCGUUCCAUUAGAUAGUAGGCGGGGUAACGGCCCACCUAGUCUUCGAUGGAUAGGGGUUCUGAGAGGAAGGUCCCCCACAUUGGAACUGAGACACGGUCCAAACUCCUACGGGAGGCAGCAGUGAGGAAUAUUGGUCAAUGGGCGAGAGCCUGAACCAGCCAAGUAGCGUGAAGGAUGACUGCCCUAUGGGUUGUAAACUUCUUUUAUAAAGGAAUAAAGUCGGGUAUGCAUACCCGUUUGCAUGUACUUUAUGAAUAAGGAUCGGCUAACUCCGUGCCAGCAGCCGCGGUAAUACGGAGGAUCCGAGCGUUAUCCGGAUUUAUUGGGUUUAAAGGGAGCGUAGAUGGAUGUUUAAGUCAGUUGUGAAAGUUUGCGGCUCAACCGUAAAAUUGCAGUUGAUACUGGAUAUCUUGAGUGCAGCUGAGGCAGGCGGAAUUCGUGGUGUAGCGGUGAAAUGCUUAGAUAUCACGAAGAACUCCGAUUGCGAAGGCAGCCUGCUAAGCUGCAACUGACAUUGAGG
rnacentral:rRNA from 1 species